AACGAACGCUGGCGGCAUGCCUAACACAUGCAAGUCGAACGAGACCUUCGGGUCUAGUGGCGCACGGGUGCGUAACGGGUGGGAACCUGCCCUUAGGUUCGGAAUAACUACCCGAAAGGGGGGAUAAUACCGGAUAAUGUCUUAGGACCAAAGAUUUAUCGACUUUGGAUGGGCCCGCGUUGGAUUAGCUAGUUGGUAGGGUAAAAGCCGACCACGGCGACGAUCAAUAGCUGGUCUGAGAGGAUGAUCAGCCACACUGGGACUGAGACACGGCCCAGACUCCUACGGGAGGCAGCAGUGGGGAAUAUUGGACAAUGGGCGAAAGCCUGAUACAGCAAUGCCGCGUGAGUUAUGAAGGCCUUAGGGUUGUAAAGCUCUUUUAACCGGGAUGAUAAUGACAGUACCGGGUGAAUAAGCUCCGGCUAACUCCGUG
rnacentral:rRNA from 1 species